CCUACGGGAGGCAGCAGUGAGGAAUAUUGGUCAAUGGGCGCGAGCCUGAACCAGCCAAGUAGCGUGAAGGAUGAAUGCCCUACGGGUUGUACACUUCUUUUAUAAGGGAAUAAACUGAGGCACGUGUUCCUUUUUGUAUGUACUUUAUGAAUAAGGAUCGGCUAGCUCCGCGCCCGCAGCCGCGGUAAUACGGAGGAUCCGAGAGUUACCCGGCUUUAUUGGGUUUAAAGGGCGCGUAGCUGGGUUGUUAAGUCAGUUGUGAAAGUUUGCGGCUCAACCGUAAAAGUGCAAUUGAUACUGGCAGCCUUGAGUACAGUUGAGGUAGGCGGAAUUCGUGGGGUAGCGGUGAAAUGCUUAGAUAUCACGAAGAACUCCGAUUGCGAAGGCAGCCUACUAAACUGCCACUGACAUUGAUGCUCGAAAGUGUGGGUAUCAAACAGGAUUAGAUACCCGGGUAGUC
rnacentral:rRNA from 1 species